rnacentral:misc_RNA from 1 species
UUUCCGUAGGUGAACCUGCGGAAGGAUCAUUCAUAAUAAAGUGUUUUAUGGCACUUUUUAAAAAUCCAUAUCCACCUUGUGUGCAAUGUUAGAUCUCGUCAAUCUUGGCGAGAUUUUUAUACAUCAACUCAUUCUUUAACUAAUUUGUCUGAAAAAUAUUAUGAACACUUAAUUCAAAAUACAACUUUCAACAACGGAUCUCUUGGCUCUCGUAUCGAUGAAGAACGCAGC